ensembl:lncRNA
GUCUCAUCUCUUUCCUGCUCAAUAACAGCUGGCUUCGGUCUAGCCGCCAGGCGAGGAAUAAAAGAGAGAGAGGGAGAGCGAGAUGGAGAGAGAGGGCACAGCUGAGCAGCGCGCUCCUGACGCAGUAAGAGACGGAUAGCGGACAGAACAGAACAGAACAGAGAAGAGAAUAGAGAGAAUAGAGGGAGAGAGAGCUGCAUGCGCAAGACAGCAGUCGGUAGAACAGUGGCGCCGCUGUCUUGUCCGUUUUGUAUAUCGUGGCUGACACUACAGGCUUGAACGUGAUGCUGCCGCCACUGUCAGUCGAAAUCAGCGACUGUUGCUGCUCUCCUCCUUGAAGUAGAGGGGAGGGUAGAGAUAGAGAGAGAGGCAUAGAUAGGAGAGGGGACGGAUAUAGAGGAGAGGGGAGAUAGAGGAGAGGGGCACAGAACGGGAAGAGAGCAGAGUAGUACAGAAAAGAGCAAGAUUUUGGGUCGAAUCGGAGAUGAAUCGCUAACCAAACCUUCAGCUUUGGCUCUCCCAACUGUCUCGAUGUUUUCAGACUAAGGUGAGUCAAAAGUAGUGAGGAAACACCCAACCCUGUCUCGUCUCUCCAUGGAGGUAAAAUCGAGGAGACAGAUUGCAUCGUUGCCUUUUCUAACGGAGACGACAGCCUGAUUGGAGCGGGGAGGAGUCCCUUAUUGUCCUGAUCCAGCUGUUCGUACGGGCAGGGUGAGAGGGCGGCGCUGACAUCUGAAGCACGCAGGCGAAUCUGCCCCUUACCACUCUAAC